UGGAAAAUGAGAUUGUCCUAUUUAUUCCUCUGAAUAUUCCCCAGCAUCUAUCACAGUGCUCUUUAUAAACUCAGCCCUCACGGAACCCUAAAAGCUGGCUAAGGGGCCAUUCUCCUCGCCACCUGGGCCUGCGUCUGCCGAAUCGCUUCCUAAGGACUUUGACUAGAAACCAAAGGUCCCAUUUUUCAUCUGCCAUUUAUUUAUCAUUGCAUAACUUAGUGAAAGCAUAUUGACUUUCCUGACUUCUUAUGACCACAUUUGAGGAAAGGAGUAAGCACUGGAAUCACCAACACAGCAUGCUUACGGAGGGUGGUCACCAGCUUCAUCAGCCUCCCAAUUCCACGGAGCCCCUUGAAAAUCCAGGAGCGCAGACUGGCAACAGUAGAGAUUUAAUAGGAGUUUACUGGAGGUUAUACUCCAGUCAAAGAAGAUGGAAACCAAGAAAGGACACAUUUUGGAGAUUAGCACUGGCUCCAGGAACCCAGUGAACAGAAGACUCAGGCUGAAGGCUUGUGCAUUCAGCCCAGAGAAAAUCCACUUAAAUUCAGAACAAUUAAGGACUCUGGGGAAGAAGGACUUCACAUGGUAGUGUGAUUGGAAGGCAGAUAAAUUU
rnacentral:lncRNA from 10 species